rnacentral:piRNA from 1 species
UAGGUAACUGUGGAGACAUGUUGAUACCU